rnacentral:rRNA from 1 species
AUUGAACGCUGGCGGCAUGCCUUACACAUGCAAGUCGAACGGUAACGGGCCUUCGGGUGCCGACGAGUGGCGAACGGGUGAGUAAUGCAUCGGAACGUACCUUUCAGUGGGGGAUAACGUAGCGAAAGUUACGCUAAUACCGCAUAUUCUGUGAGCAGGAAAGCAGGGGAUCGCAAGACCUUGCGCUGAUUGAGCGGCCGAUGUCAGAUUAGCUAGGUGGUGAGGUAAAGGCUCACCAAGGCGACGAUCUGUAGCGGGUCUGAGAGGAUGAUCCGCCACACGGGGACUGAGACACGGCCCAGACUCCUACGGGAGGCAGCAGUGGGGAAUUUUGGACAAUGGGGGCAACCCUGAUCCAGCCAGGCCGCGUGAGUGAAGAAGGCCUUCGGGUUGUAAAGCUCUUUCGGCCGGGAAGAAAUCGCACAGGCUAAUACCUUGUGUGGAUGACGGUACCGGAAUAAGAAGCACCGGCUAACUACGUGCCAGCCGCCGCGGUAAAAC